CAAUAGUGUAUGCUAAUUUUGUUGCGGUUAAAAAGCUCGUAGUUGAAUCUCGGCAGGCAGGGCUCGGUUCGAUUUUCGUCGCUACUGAGCCAUUUGCCUGUGACAGUUUGACGGAGGUUCUUGGGUGCUCUUAACCGAGUGUCCUGGGGCGCCGUCAGGUUUACUUUGAAAAAAUUAGAGUGCUCAAAGCAGGCCUUACCCGCUUGAAUAUUCGUGCAUGGAAUAAUGGAAUAGGACGUCGUUUCUAUUUUGUUGGUUUUCGGAAAUCGACGUAAUGAUAAAUAGGGACAGUCGGGGGCAUUAGUAUUCAGACGACAGAGGUGAAAUUCUUGGACCGUCUGAAGACUAACUACUGCGAAAGCAUUUGCCAAGAAUGUUUUCAUUAAUCAAGAACGAAAGUUAGAGGUU
rnacentral:rRNA from 2 species